rnacentral:misc_RNA from 1 species
GAUGAAGAACGUAGCGAAAUGCGAUAAGUAAUGUGAAUUGCAGAAUUCAGUGAAUCAUCGAAUCUUUGAACGCACAUUGCGCCCGCCAGUAUUCUGGCGGGCAUGCCUGUUCGAGCGUCAUUUCAACCCUCAAGCACAGCUUGGUGUUGGGACUCGCGUUAAUUCGCGUUCCCCAAAUUGAUUGGCGGUCACGUCGAGCUUCCAUAGCGUAGUAGUAAAACCCUCGUUACUGGUAAUCGUCGCGGCCACGCCGUUAAACCCCAACUUCUGAAUGUUGACCUCGGAUCAUGUAGGAAUACCCGCUGAACUUAAGCAUAUCAAUAAGCGGAGGA